GCCUGAAGUGUCUGCCUGAGAAAAGCCAGGGGAAUUAUGCCUACUUCCCUCCACUGAGUACAAAGGGAGAGAGGCUGACAAUCUCAGCUGUAGCUAUUUACUAAGUCCUUGUAAACAGUGUUAGAUGAGAUGCAUUUAACCCUGAUUGUGGCUUUCCAUAAAAAUUGAGAAGAAACUCUCAUUGGCCUAGGCAUUUUUAAGAGCUCUAUAAAGAUGAGAUGUCAGAAUUGUGGUCAGAUAUUCUGACUUUUUGUCACAUGUGACCAGCCUCUUAGUCUACAAAAGAGCACACCAAAGUCAAAUGAAGGUAGCUGUCCAACCUGAGGUGCUUUAAAAGGGUCUGGAUUGGAAAGGAAGACUCCCAGCCUGUCAAAACUUGACACUGGGCUCUGCAUCAAGUUCAGCCCUAAAGGACUUGCAGCUUUCCAGAAAUGUGUGGAAACAUCUGUAAGUGCAGGAGAACUGGGCUCCAGAGAACAUGUACCUCCCACACUAUGUAUCCAUAGUGUCUGACUUUCAAGCCUUGCUGGUGUUGCCUUUGAAGUCAAUGAGAAUUUUGCUAUUGACCUCAGCUGGAAUGAGAUCAAUGGGAACAAGCCCUUAGUGCACAACAUGUGCAAAAUUUUGCCUAACAGUCUAAAAACUCAAGAACUGAACCACGAGCCACAAUCACAGAGACGAAGUGGUGGAGUCCAGAACUUCCCUCCCGUUGCACACGGUUGGCACGUACAUGCUGGCAGAUGCUGGAAGAGAAAGAGAGUGGAAAAUCAGCUGACUUCAGCACAGCAAAAAGGGGCAACACACAGGAUUAGAAUUUGUGCUGGUCUGGACCAUCUCACCCCAUUUAACCAAGGUGCCUAAUGAAAAGUCACUGCCUGUGUCAGCAGCAGAGCUGAUGGAGGUGCUGCUUGCACUCUGCUUGGCACCUCAGACCUCAGGCUGAAGCAUCCUCUGAAGAAAGCUGAUUUCACUUUGCUGCCCACUGUGAGCACAGAGGGUGAUUACACUUCUCCAAGAAGUGUCAGGAUAAAAUGCAUGGGGUUUUUCUCCCGCCCGAUGAUUCUGUGCCACUGGGUCUCACUUUGUAGCACUUUGCAAGGUGGUGUGAAUUAAUACAGCUGUAAUGGUAUCGAAAUACCUCAGUAGAAAAAAGUGAACACUUGGAUUUUUUGUGUUUUAUUGGCAAGAAAUGCUAAGGUCUGAUCCUUUGAGCUUUCACAUAAUUGGAGCGGACAUUCAUGAAGGAAAUAUAUGUAGUUUUAAAUCCUGGAGAUAAUCUACCAUAUUAGAAUUCUGUGUCAAUCACCUUUUAAUUAAUAGAAAUAAGAAUUCUAAGAACAUACGGGGUGAAGUGAAGAAAUUUUUUAAUAACUGAAUUUUAAAGCAAGAUUAUUUCUCACCUAAUCCCAGAAUGAUUUCUAACUAUAAUACACUUCUAGGAGCUCUGGAUCAGGAUUCACUAUGCAUCCAGAGGUGAGGACCAGAUUCUGAUAAACUUGUUUACAUUUUAUACAUCAUUUUUUCAUUGCUUUAAUGGUAUUAAAUGACAAUUAAAUCUGAGUAUAACAAUCUGUUUCCAAAUGUAUUUGUAUUUUGAGCAGAGAAUAGAUUACCUUAUUCUGCUUAAGUCUUAUGGAUUUUAAUUUAAAAGCAAAUUGUUUUGCCCAUCUUUGUUAAAAUUAUCCAUUGGGCAUCAGAAAUGUGUUUUCAGAUACUCUGUGACAUCUCUGCUCAGGGCACCAUAAAAGCUGCUUUUUGAAAGAUACAUUAGGUUAAUGGUAACAGUGACCCAGAGAAAUGUGAUGCCUUCAUCAAAGAAAACACAUGGCAAGCAAUGACUUAGUAAACUCAAUCAUCCAGUGUAAAAAGCAAUUUAUGCAGCUGACAAGGGCAUGCUCAAUCUUCCACAUCUGCUGCUGGCUGCACUCUCAGUUGCACACUGGUUCUGUAAAGAUGCUCAGUAUAAUUUUUAGAAAAAAAUAUUCUUUCUUCAAAUCAGCUGGUAUUUUUCAUUCUUUCAUGGACUGAAUAAAUAUUUCAUGGAAAACAGAAUUGCUUUAACAAAAGAAAUUUAAAGGCAUCUACUAAUAACUAAUUUAGAGGACCAACCUACUAGUCAGAGUGCAGGACAUCUUCCUGAAACAGGAGACCCAAGAACAAGCCCCUCUUCUGGAUUAGGUCAAUGGAAUUUGAUCUCUCACAACAUGGAUGUGUGUUAUGAGUCACAGGUGUGGAAGAAGUGUUGUAUGUGAAAGACCACAGGGCAUCAUGUCUGUCAUUUCUAAAACUUAAUUAGUAUUUUGUAUUCUGAUUUCAUAUUCUGUUUUUAACUGGGUAUAACAUGGCAGCACAAUGACCCAAACUGUUUUUUAAUUGCUAUUUUUAUUUUCUACUUUUUGUUAGAAAAUAGAAAAAUCAGUUUUGCUCAGGAAACCUGAUUCAAAUCCCUGUUCUACUGCAGUUUGGCUACAGGCAAAAGCAUUUUGUUUUCAUGAACAUCAGUCACUUAGCCAGAAUUUUUUUAGCUUCAGGCUUUUUUUUUUUUUUUUUUUUGAAGUCCAAGACACUGACAAGCAUGAAUAGCUGAAAUACUAUGGUAACUGGGUCAGGAGGAUAUCAAAAUUGGACAGAAAUAUAUGGUGGUAGGCAAGAAAUGAGUGGCCUUGCCUUUUAAGUUUCCAGGCUUCCUGCACAGCAUGUAGCUCUCUUGCAGUGCUGGGAUGCAGUUAUUAACUCUGCUGGGUGGAGUAAAGUGUUCACACUGAGCAUCCAGCUCUCCUGAGACAGAGCAAAAGACCUUGCUUUCCAUUACAGACCUCAGCAGUGUUAAUCACUGGCCCUGCAGGGUUCUGAGCUACACUCCGUGUCUGAUAGCAGCCACCAAGGGCUUUCCUGGAAUACUGCUGGAUAUGCAAGAGACACUUCACCUUCAUUCUGUGCUGAGACCAAGGACAAAAGUGGGACAUCAGCAGAAGUUGUGAUUUGGCUCAAGUUCAUGCUUUUGAUCUCCCUCUUCCUGGCUGUCCCUCAUUUUGCUUAGCUAAUCCAAGGAAAAGAACCAGAGGUACAAUGCAAGAGCCCAGCACUGCCAUGGUGACCUUGAAGCUUUGCCAACACAGCCAAGAACAGGCAGAUCUGAAUGUGCUGUCUGUAUGCCACUUAGAGUCAUAGAACCAGAGAAUAUCCUGUCUUGGAAGGGUCCCACAAGGGUCAUUGAGUCCAAUUCCCCUCUGUGCACUGGACAACCCCAGGAACCACACCAUGUGCCUGAGAGCAUUGUCUCCUCUACUUAUGCUCACAGCUGGACAACUGUGAGUUAAGCUCUAUUAGGUCAGGGCUAGUUUGGAGCCAGGCCAGGGGAAAUAAAUUCAGAGGGAAGAUAAAAAUUGCCAGUCUGGCUAUAAACAGGAGGUUCAAUUCUCCUUGUGACCCCUGUGCAGGCCACCUGGAGGAGCUCAGCUCUGCUGGCAGCUCCCCAUGUGGACUGAGAUAAA